GAUGAACGCUGGCGGCGUGCCUAAUACAUGCAAGUAGAACGCUGAAGCUUGGUGCUUGCACCGAGCGGAUGAGUUGCGAACGGGUGAGUAACGCGUAGGUAACCUGCCUCUUAGCGGGGGAUAACUAUUGGAAACGAUAGCUAAUACCGCAUAAAAGUCGAUAUCGCAUGAUAUUGAUUUGAAAGGUGCAAAUGCAUCACUAAGAGAUGGACCUGCGUUGUAUUAGCUAGUUGGUGAGGUAACGGCUCACCAAGGCGACGAUACAUAGCCGACCUGAGAGGGUGAUCGGCCACACUGGGACUGAGACACGGCCCAGACUCCUACGGGAGGCAGCAGUAGGGAAUCUUCGGCAAUGGGGGCAACCCUGACCGAGCAACGCCGCGUGAGUGAAGAAGGGUUUCGGAUCGUAAAGCUCUGUUGUAAGAGAAGAACGAGUGUGAGAGUGGAAAGUUCACACUGUGACGGUAACUUACCAGAAAGAGACGGCUAACUACGUG
rnacentral:rRNA from 1 species